UGUCCCCUGCGGUGUUCGUCAGGCUCAUAAUUCUUUGAACCAAUGAGCUUAUGCUUAGGCCGCGCUCCUUAACGUUACUGUUGUGCGCAUUCCUUGCGGAUGUACCUGAUGUAACUGGAAACCGGCCCACUUGAACCCAGGUUCAAGAUAUUGGGUCAACGGCACAGGCGGGGGGCUU
rnacentral:other from 1 species